UUUACCUUGUUUUUUGUUAGUUUGCGCAUCAAAUGAACUGGAAAAGCAAUUUCCAUGCGCCGCGCCUGCAGAUAUGCUACACAGCGCAUUUUUCGCACACCAACAAAAGGAACACAA